GUGAAUCAUCAAAUUUUUUCCCUCCCCUUUCCCUCUCCUCUUCUCUUAUGCCUGUUUGAGGGUCAGCCUAUAAAAAAUCGACAUCGUUGCUGUUUCGCUUUUGCGUUCUUCUUAAAUUGGGUCAUCUUAAAUCCUUUUGAUUUAAGCGACUUAAAAUUUUCUUUUGGUUCCAUGAACGUUUCUAAGAUCUAUUUCUUUACACGUUUAAGGUCUCUAUUUUUACUAGACGUGACCAUCAUAUCUUCUCUCGUCCAUCAUCUUUCCUUCCCUGACCUCAGACAGGUAAGAACACCCUGUGAA
rnacentral:misc_RNA from 1 species